AUGUUUCCUAGGCCUGUCUUGAACUCCCAGGCUCAAGUGAUUCUCCUGCCUCAGCCUCCCAACAUGCUGGAUCACAGGCAGUAGCCACCUCACCUGGCCAGUUUUCCCUUUACAAAAACUGGAAUGCUGAGCCCAGCCACGUCAGUCUUGGCUGGACUCACUGCCCACCUCUGGGACCUUGGCGGUGGGGCGGGAAGGAGGACCUCAAAGGCUCAGCGAGUCCACCCCCAGCCCAGCCACCAGCGCCGGCCUCCUCCUCUGCAACACCCAGGCCCUUAUCAGGAAAGGAUUUGGGUUGGUGGGGAGAGGCGGGGUGGGGGAAGUCAGAGGCCCCAGGCUCGGCAAGGUGGGUAGGAGAGAUAGGGAAGUGGGGAGGGGGCUGCGGGCCCCUGCUGGGCGGGGGAGGGCAAUGGGAGGGAUGCCCAGAAUGGGCACGGUGGGGGACUUUGGCUAAGCUCUGUCCUCGCUGGGCUGGCCCUCAACAUGGUUCCAGGACUUCUGCCUCCCAUCCUUGCCAGGCAAGUUGCCUGUACCUUUAAUUAGCAAGCAGCAGUUUCUCUCCAAUUCAUCACGGUCGCUGUUUAAUUAGCCGAGCCCAGGGCGCCCCCACCCCCAGCUCUGCCUGCCUGUCUUACCAAGGCCACCACCACCUCAGGGUGUCCCCUGUUACCACCCCCCACACUUAUUCUGCUCCCCAGAAUGGAGGAUGGGCCUGGCACGCCCAGCUGAAACCUCAAGGAGAUUCUGGGCACCGGUGCUUGUAUUCAAGGCAUCCAGCAAACAUGAUUAGGGACCGAGGCUGCGCCAGGCUGGCUCUGGCUAGAACCCCAGCCGGACACGCGGGGCAGGCUCUGGUCCUGUCCAGCUGCUGGAAUGGCUUCUCCCUUGGGAGGCGCUGAAACGUCCCUCUGGCUUGGUCCCUGGGUGCUGGGAAGAGGCUGCAGUACUCCUGUGUGUCACUCCCACCCCACAUCCAGAAAGGGACACCAUAUCUUCCUCUUCCUCUCUCUUCCAGAGCCCAGAAAGCUCCUCUGAGAAUGCUGGACCUCAGGACAGGGGCCCAUGCUCUGCACCCGGCCCUCAGCAGCCAGAUCCUAGAGGCCUAGUCCAAGCUGUGGGCCAAGGGAGGGGGGCGGGCUGAGGCCUGCUUUGUGUCGGCAGGGUCUGGGGAAUCGGGAGCACUGGCGGGAGCCCAUGGUCUGGGGCUGAACCAGGCCUCUUCUGUUUCCCUGAAGAAGAGUGAGGCUGAGGGCCCUUGGAACAGAGCCCCUGUGUCAUUCUGUGCAGGGCCAGGGUAGCCACUAGUCACUGUGGGCAGAAACAUGAAGCAGAGGCUCAGGCUCCGUCCCAAGCCUGUGCUCCUGCUGGGCUGUGGGAGGUGUGACCCUUCUACUGUUUCGUGGACUGAGAACAUGAAGGGACUGGCAUUUGCUGUGUUACCCUGUGGUGCCAUCAGUGUGUUGUGACAGGGGCAGGAGGAGUGUGCUAGAACCCACCCACUCUGGUACUGCCCAUCUCUGUGGCCUUGGGCCAGCCAGCAAACCGUACCAUGCCUUAGUUUCCCUAUGAUUCAUAGCUGCUUCAUGGGCUGAUGU